CCCUCUUUUCCUCACCGGUAAGCAUAAUCGUUCAGAGAAAUAGAGAGCCCGAGAAAGGUCGAAACUUUGAAGAUCUCUGAGAAGAAAUAAGACUUUCCAGAUCUAUCUGACGUAGUUGUAGAUCCGUAACCGAUAAUGAGUUCGUUCAGCGGCGAUGAGACGGCACCGUUUUUUGGUUUCCUCGGAGCCGCGGCUGCGCUUGUUUUCUCCUGUAUGGGAGCUGCCUAUGGCACAGCAAAGAGUGGCGUAGGAGUGGCUUCCAUGGGUGUGAUGAGACCUGAGUUGGUGAUGAAGUCCAUAGUUCCUGUUGUCAUGGCUGGAGUUUUGGGUAUUUAUGGCCUUAUUAUUGCUGUUAUAAUUAGUACCGGCAUAAAUCCUAAGGCCAAAUCUUAUUACCUCUUUGAUGGGUAUGCACAUCUCUCCUCUGGUCUUGCCUGCGGGCUUGCUGGGCUUUCUGCUGGAAUGGCUAUUGGUAUUGUUGGUGAUGCUGGUGUAAGAGCUAAUGCACAGCAGCCAAAACUUUUUGUUGGAAUGAUUCUCAUCCUGAUCUUUGCUGAAGCACUUGCUCUCUAUGGUCUCAUCGUUGGUAUUAUCCUGUCUUCUCGUGCUGGCCAGUCCAGAGCUGAUUAGGAAAGGUAAUUCCAAGUACUUGUAAACGCAAGCUACGAGAAACAAAACAAGACAGCAAUGAUGCGGGGAAGAAGAACCAUAGAAGGGAAGUCUGGGAAGAAGUAGAUGUUGUAAUGUGGACCAACCUAGCCCCAUAUGAGUGGGGGGAAAUGGGUUUUUCUUGGCAGGGCGUUCUGUUUCAGCUGAAUAAGAUGUACGCGUGGCGCAUGUGGACUUGUGAAGCUGCAGAAAGCGAAGUUUCGUAUUUCCGUGACUCACUGGCAGGACAGUAAGCACCAAAGUAGCCGUGUGAAGCACAGCAGCAUGAUUUGAAUUUGGGUGCGUUGGUCGGAGGUUUUUGAAGGGAAGGUGAAGAGAGUUGAUCCCUUUCUUUUAUUUAGUUGGUAUUUAAUAAAGAAAAGGGAGGAGAGUCAUUUAUUUGAUUAAAAAAUUAAA